rnacentral:lncRNA from 10 species
GCCACUUGCUCACGCCUCCGAUCAGAGAACUUCGGCUCCUUCCGCCACCGCUUCGUGAAGGCCUCACUCUCCGGGGACAGCUUCGACUUUUUCCGUGGGUACCUCGGCUCCUUCCGGCUUCGGGAACGGAAAAGGGAAGGAGAACAGAGACGAGAUGGAUCAGGGGAAGGGAUAGAGAAGGGGACGAGGUCCUAGUUCUCGGCACCUGGCUCUCCGGGUGGGGAAAGUGAAAGAAAAAAAGGGCCGGCCUCGCGGAGGGCCUGAGAAGGUUGUGCCAGACAAAAGCAGCAAGAGGGAUGAAGGGUGCGCGCGACCGCUGCGGAGGUUGCCAGCGCGGCUUUUUGCGCCUGCGCAGGGU